UAUCUUCAGGGCAGGGUGCAAUUCCCUACCGGUGGUACAGCCCACGAGCCGCAAGGCAUGAUUCGGUGAAACUCCGAAGCCGACAGUACAGUCUGGAUGAAAGAAGAUG
rnacentral:ncRNA from 2 species